CACUUGAGGAUGUACCACCCAUUUAACAGGAAACAUGCUUGGUACAUCUUUGAGUGAG
rnacentral:pre_miRNA from 1 species